CCUACGGGUGACAGCAGUGAGGAAUAUUGGUCAAUGGCCGGAAGGCUGAACCAGCCAUGCCGCGUGAAGGUCAGUGCCCUAUGGGCGUUAAACUUCUUUUGUGCGGGAGCAAUAAUGGUCACGUGUGGCCAGACGAGAGUACCGUACGAAUAAGCAUCGGCUAACUCCGUGCCAGCAGCCGCGGUAAUACGGGGGAUGCAAGCGUUAUCCGGAUUUAUUGGGUGUAAAGGGUGCGUAGGCUGUGAGGUAAGUCAGCGGUGAAAUGCCCCCGGUCAACGGGGUGAAGUGCCAUUGAUACUGCCUGGCUGGAAUGCGGAUGACGUGGGAGGAAUGUGUGGUGUAGCGGUGAAAUGCAUAGAUAUCACACAGAACACCGAUUGCGAAGGCAUCUCACGAAUCCGCGAUUGACGCUGAUGCACGAAAGCGUGGGUAUCAAACAGGAUUAGAUGCCCGUGUAGUC
rnacentral:rRNA from 1 species